rnacentral:snoRNA from 1 species
CUUCUUUCCAUCAAAAAUACAAUUAAAAUGAUGGUGAGCAGUGGCUGCAAACAGUGGCCUCCUCAGUAAUAUAUGCAGCCUGUUGCUUGUAGACCUUGUCCUAAGGAUCUUGGAGACCACA